GAACGGGUGAGUAACACGUGGGCAAUCUGCCCUGCACUCUGGGACAAGCCCUGGAAACGGGGUCUAAUACCGGAUAACACUCCUACACUCAUGUGUGGGUGUUGAAAGCUCCGGCGGUGCAGGAUGAGCCCGCGGCCUAUCAGCUUGUUGGUGAGGUAAUGGCUCACCAAGGCGACGACGGGUAGCCGGCCUGAGAGGGCGACCGGCCACACUGGGACUGAGACACGGCCCAGACUCCUACGGGAGGCAGCAGUGGGGAAUAUUGCACAAUGGGCGAAAGCCUGAUGCAGCGACGCCGCGUGAGGGAUGACGGCCUUCGGGUUGUAAACCUCUUUCAGCAGGGAAGAAGCGCAAGUGACGGUACCUGCAGAAGAAGCGCCGGCUAACUACGUGCCAGCAGCCGCGGUAAUACGUAGGGCGCAAGCGUUGUCCGGAAUUAUUGGGCGUAAAGAGCUCGUAGGCGGCUUGUCACGUCGGGUGUGAAAGCCCGGGGCUUAACCCCGGGUCUGCAUUCGAUACGGGCUAGCUAGAGUGUGGUAGGGGAGAUCGGAAUUCCUGGUGUAGCGGUGAAAUGCGCAGAUAUCAGGAGGAACACCGGUGGCGAAGGCGGAUCUCUGGGCCAUUACUGACGCUGANGAGCGAAA
rnacentral:rRNA from 2 species